UAUUUUAGUCUUGUUAGAGGAACCUGUUUUAUAAUCGAUAAACCACGUACAUCUCACUUAUUUUAAAUAAUUUGUAUACCGUCAUUAUUAGAUAACUUUCAAAAAAUUAGUUAUUAAAAUUAAAUAAAAUUAAAUAUAUUAGAUCAAGGUGCAGUUAAUAAAUAAGAAAAAAUGGGUUACAAUAAAAAUUUAUUUAAAACGAAUUAUAUAAAUGUAAAAAUAUAUGAAGGAGGAUUUAAUUGUAAUUUUUUUUAUAAAAUAAUAAUAUGAUAAUAGCUCUAAAAUAU
rnacentral:rRNA from 1 species